rnacentral:lncRNA from 1 species
AGAGAGAGAGAGAGAUUAAGAGAGCUACAGAUGACCAAAGAGCAAGCAGAGCUGUCCUGUUACUCGUGUAUCUUCUUCUUCUUCGUCUUUAAUUUUAUUCAAAUAAUACUUGGUAUUUUCAACGCGCUUAUAUGGUAGCUGCAGCAUGUUUUGCCCUUUAGAAGAAGAAGAAAAAGGACCAACAGGACUUCGCAAACUGCAAAGGACAAAUCUCCCAAUUUAACAACCAAGGGGUAUAAGAAUUACUCCUGAAAAGACAAACAGUACAAGGAAUAACCAUCUGAAAAGACACGUCAUAUAAGAAUUACUCCCUAUGACUACUAAACACUUAGCUACACUAGGUCUCCAACAAUCAAAAGUACAAGCUCACUAGUUCAGUACCCCACUUCCUUAGAAGCAAAGAUAAAUGGUAACAACCAAGGGGAAAACGAGACAUUGUCCCUGAUCAAAAAUAGAUCGGGUUUUGGGCCACAAAGACCCAAUCCAACCAAACCCACAACAUCAAAAAAGUCCCACAACUUUGGACUUUCAGCUUAAGCUGAGAAACCCUAACAGGCCUAAGCCCACUUAGGCCCAUUUGAUCAUCUUUCUUUCCCACAACCAUGAAAAUUUCACCGCUGACCUGCAUGCCUCCGUCAGCGAUUCUACACCACCUCCAACAUCAGGAACAUAAACCUCAGCCCCUCUUUCCACAUGUCCACCGCCGCUGGUAUCUCCAUUGGAAGGCAGUUGUCGUUUUCACCAUGCAAACCCUAAAUAGGUCUACUAACGCCAACAAACAAGUCAUUUUCACCGGCGUUGGGACCGGAGUCCCGACUCCACCAAAAAAAUCCAGAUUCGACGCCUCCAAACAAGGUUUCAACCCCUGCCAUGUCGAAGCACGUAGAUGACCCAGAAGGAAGACCACCCUCCACUAGAUCUACCCCCCAAAAGAGACGGCACCAGAUUUGGCAAAAGAAAACACGUGUUCGCUAGCCACCCAUACCACCUCGGGUCACCAAUCCCACUAGGAUGAUUCGUUCCUCCAUCAAAAACAUCACCCGGAUCCCAGUUCUCCCAAACCAGAUCAGGUGCCUCCGCAUAGCAUUGGCGGGUCUAAGCGGCCCCUAAGCGGGUGUAGGUGGUCCCUACGUGGGUCUAGGUGGGUCAAGGCGGUCCUGUGGCAGGUCAAAGCGGCCCUCGACGGGUCAAGGCGGCCUAGUAGUGGCCUUAAGCGGGUCUCAAUAGCCUUUUGGUGGGUCUAGAUUGUCCCUAAGCGGGUCUAGGCGGUCCCUACACAGGUCUUAAGUGGGUCCAAGCGGUCCUUACGCGGUUCCUAGGUGGAUCUAGGCGGUCCCUACGCUUGUUCUAAGUAGGUCUAGGCGGGUCUUAACGGCCCUAGGCGGGUCAAGGUGCCCCUUUAGCGGCCCUAAGUGGGUCUCGGCAUCUCCUUGGCAGUCAUAGACUUGUAUCGGCAGACCCUUAGCGAGUCUAGGUAGCCCUAAAUGGGUCUAGGUGGUCCCUACGUGGGUCUAGGAGGGUUAAGGCGGUCCUAUGGCACGUCAAGGCGUGUCAAAACGGUCCCUUAGUGACCCUCGACGGCUCACUAAGCAGGUCUAAAUUGUCCCAACACGAGUUUAGGUGGAUCAAGGCGGUCCCUUGGCAAGUCAAAGCGGCCCCUUGGCGACCCUUUAUGGGUCAAGACCACCCCUUAGCGGCCCUAGACAGGUCUAGACAACCCCUAAGCGGGUCUAGGAGGUUCAAGGUUGUCCCUUGGCAGAUCAAGGUGGGUCAAAGCGGCCCCUUGGCGGCCCUCAACGAUUCAAGGCGGCCUAUUAGCGGCCCAAGGUGGGUCAUGGCAGUCCCUUGGCAAGUCUAAGCGGCCCUAAGCUGGUCUAGGUGAGUUAAAACAGUCCCUUAACAGGUCAAAGCGGCCCCUUAGCGGUCCUCGGCGAGUCAAGACUGCUCCUUAGCGACCCUAAGCAGGUCUAGGUGACCCCUAAGCGAGUCUAAGUGGUCCCUAAGCGGGUCUACGAAGAUCUAGGUGAUCCAUUGGCAGGUCAAGGCGGGCCAAAGUGCCCCUUUGACGGCCUGCGGGGGGUCAAGACAGCCCAUUAGCGGCCUAAGGCGGCCCAUUAGCGGCCCUAGGCGGGUCUAGGCUGUCCGUAAGCGGGUCUAGGCGAUCCCUAAGCGGGUCUAGGUGGUCCCUACGUGGUUUUAGUAGGGUUAAGGCGGUCUCUUAGCAGGUCAAGACGGGUAAAAACGGCAUCUUGGCGGCCCUCGACGGGUCAAGGCGAUUCAUUAGUGGUCAUAGGCUGAUCUCGGCAGCCCCUUAGAGGGUAUAAACAGCCCCUAAGUGGGUCUAGAUGGUCCCUACGCGGGUCUAGGUGGAUUAAGACGAUCCCUUAGCAGUUCAAAGCGACCCCUUGGUAGGCCUUGGCGGGUCAAGACAACCCCUGAGCGGCCCCUAAAAAGGUCUAGUUGGUCCUUACGCGGGUCUACGAAGGUCAAGGCGGUCCAUUGGCAAGUCAAUUGCAAGGUGGGCCAAAGAAGCCCUUUAGCGACCCUAGGCAGGUCUCGGCAUCCCUUUGGCAGGUCUAGGCUAUCCCUAAGUGGGUCUAAGCGGUCCUUACGCUGGUCUUAAGCAGGUAUAGGGGGUCUUAACGGCCUUAGGUGGGUCAAGGCGUCCCCUCGGCAGCCCUAGACAUGUAUCAAUAGCCCCUUGGCGGGUCUAGGUGGUCCCUAAACAGGUCUAGGACGGUUAAGGCGGUCCCUUGGUAAGUCAAGACUGGUCAAAGGGGGUCAAAACAGUCCCUUGGCGGGUUAAGGUGGCUCAUUAACGGCCCAAGGCGGGUCGUGACAGCCCCUUGGCGGGUCUAAGCGGCCCUUGGCAGGUCAAGACUGCCCCUUAGCGACCCUAGGUAGGUCUAGGCAGCCUUGGGUCUAGGUGGUCCCUACGCAGGUCUACUAGGGUCUAGGCGGUCCCUUGGCAGGUCAAAGCGGGUCAAAGCGGCCCCUUGGCGGCCCUCGGCCGGUCAAGACGGCCCAUUAGCGGUCAUAAGCGGAUCUCGGCAGCCAUUUGGCGGGUCUAGGCGGUCACUACGCGGUUCCUAAGCAAGCCUAGGCUGGUCUUAACUGACCUAGGCAAGUAAAGGUGCCCCCUUGGCGGCCCUAAGUGGGUCUCAGCAUCCCCUUGGCACCCUAGACAUGUUUCGGCAGACCCUUGGUGUGUCUAGGUGGCCCCUAAGCGGGUCUAGGUGGUCCCUAAAAGGGUUUCAAGACGGUUAAGGCGGUCCCUUGGCAAGUAAGGCGGGUCUAGGCUGUUCCUAAGCAGGUCUAGACGGUCCCUAUGCGGUUCCUAAGCAAACCGAGGCGGGUCUUAACGGACCUAGGCGAGUCAAGGCGCCCCCUUGGCGGCCCUCAGUGAGUCUCGGCAUCCCUUUAAUGCCCUAGACGUGUAUCGACAGACCUUGGUGGGUCUAGAUAGCCCCUAAGAGCAACUCCAACCAUAGAGUCAAAACCACCAUGGAGGCUCCAACGGCAACAAUUGACAACUUUGAAUCAACUCCAACAGAAUUGUCAAUUCCACCUGGAUGACAACUUUGAUUCAUCUUGUCAAAUUUGACCCAGGCUGAGCUUAAAGUCAUUUAAUUUUUUUAUGAUUUCUUUCUCUUCUCUCCUCUUUCAUUCUCAUCUCUCUGUUUCUUUCCUACACAAAACCCAAAUCAAGACUUGCUGAUCUGCAAUUUUGAUAUAGAAAGAGCAAUAGCAUCAAUACCCAAAUAAUCAAAUGGUUAUUUGAAGAAAGCAGAUCGAGUUCGAGGGAAGAAGAGGAUUGUUGGUAAAAGGAUCAAAAUCGUUGUCAGUGAAUGAGGAGAUAAUUCCAAAUUUAGGUUGAUCAAACAUACCUACACCUAGUAAGAAGAUUCAUUCUUUGGUCUUGAGCUUCUUGACGGCCUUGUCUAUGGAGGAUCGGAGGGACUUGUAGGACAAGAGAUAAGCUAGAAAAAAUGAAAGAAAGAAGGUGAUCGAGAGCAGAAGAAAAGGUGUGAGAGGAGAUUUUUUUGACUAAUGAGAGAGGAGGAGGAGGAUAAGGAUAAGAGGGGUGCGUGUUUUAAUAAAAUGAUUUACAAAUUAUUAUAAAAUUAUAAUUUUUUUGACUAGUUGGUUGGAGUUAAAAUCUUGUAAAAUGUCAAAUACCAUGUCAGCAGUCAAAUUUGAAAUUUGACAAAAAGUUUUAAUUCUCUUGUUAGAGAUGCUCUAAGCGGGUCUAGGUGGUCCCUAAAUGGGUUUCAGGACGGUUAAGGCGGUCCCUUGGUCGGUAAAGGUGGGUCAAAGGCGGCUUCUUAGCUGCCCUCAGCCUGUCAAGGCGGCCCAUUAGCGGCCCUAGGCGGAUCCCUUGGCAGGUCAAGCUAGGUCAAAGGCGGCCUCUUGGCAGGUCAAGGAGGGUCAAGGCGGCUCAUUAACCGCCCUAGGCGGGUCUCGACAGCCCAUUGGCGAGUCUAAACAGCCCCUUAACGGGUCUAGCUAGAUGGUCCAUACGCAGGUCUAGGAGGGUCAAGACAGUCCGUUGGUAGGUAAAGGACGGUCAAAGUGGCCCCUUGGCCGCCCUCGACGGGUCAAGGCGGCCCAAGGCGGGUCUAGGUGUGUCUAGGCGGCCCCUAAGCGGGUCAAGAUUGUUCCUACGUGGGUCUAGGUGGAUCAAGGCGGUCCCUUGGUAGGUCAAAGUGACCUAUUGGCGACCCUUGGGGGUCAAGACUGCCUUUUAGUGGCCGCUCUAGGUGGUCCUUCAAAGGGUCUAGGAGGGUUAAGGCAGUCCCUUAACAGGUCAAGGCGGGUCUCAGUUGCACCUUGGCAGGUCUAAGCGGCCCCUAAGCGAGUUUAGAUGGUCUUUACAUGGGUCUAGGUGGAUCAAAGAGGUGCCUUGGCAGGUCAAGACAGCCCCUUAACGGCCCUAAGUGGGUCUCGUAGGGUCUAAGCAGGUCUAGGCGGGUCUAGACGGCCCUUGGCGGGUCAAGACCACCCCUUAGCGGCCCUAGACAGGUCUAGGCGACCCCUAAGAAGGUCUAGGUGGUCCCUACGCUGGUCUACGAGGGUCAAGGUGGGUCAAAAUGGCCCAUUGGCUGCCCAUGACGGGUCAAGGCGGCCCAUUAGCGACCCUAGACGGGUCUCGCUAGCCCUUUGGCGGGUCUAGGCUGUCCCUACGUAGGUCUAGGCGGUCCCUACACGGGUCCUAAGCAGGUAUAGGCGGGUCUUGACGGACGGGUCAAGACGCCCUUAUACUUCUAGCAAUUGAAAAUUCGGCAGCCUUAGUGUCACGGUCCAUAUUUUCUAGAAAAUUUCCAACGACUCUAGGCACUUUGGACCAGCGAGUCAUCUAGACAUCAAAAUACAUCAUGUUGUCCGGCUCUCAAUGUUUGAAGGUUUUGUAAGAGUAUAAAGAUAUCAAAAUUCAUUGCUAGCUAGGCAACGUAGAUUCUACAUUUAAAGUGUCAUUGUUAUAAAAAGGGUGAGACUCUGUGAACCCAUAGCAAACAUAUGUGUGAAAGCUAGCAUGGUUUUAUUGAAUUAAAAUGAACAAGAAGGAAGUAAAACGCAGGAGAGCAAGAGUCUACAUCUUGUAUUUGAUUGAUUGUGUAAAAAAUACAUCUCAUCAGAUUUAUAUGUAGGGAUCAAUAGAAAAUGACUAAACUAAUCUUACUCUGUUUUCCAAUUUUUCCC